rnacentral:lncRNA from 1 species
CUCCUUCAGUUGCCUCAGAGUGGAUAUCUUUACUAGAAGACUCCAACAUAGAAAUUUCAUCUGUGCCCUCAUCGCACGAAACAGGGGACUCAAUGUCACCUUCAACUUUACUAACACUUUGAUUCGAGACACCGUGAUGUACAGAUGGAGUUGACAUGCCCUCGGUUGCACAAGUGCCUACCGCAUCAUGGUUAGGCAAGUCAUUAAGUUGUCUACUGCAUGAAUCGGUGGUCUCAACCAAAAUCGAAGAUCCAGGCUGAGAGUAGCUUCCUGGAGAAGUUGGAUUAGCGGAUAGGUUAGGACGGGGCAGCUUCUGAGCAUCUGAAGGCAA